AUCGGUUCUUUCACUUAUACUGAGGGGCUGGGUCUCUGUCGCCAAGAAGCCAGCUAACAACCCCAGUGUGUCUGCUUGGAUGAGAAGGGGUGAAGACCUAGAAAGAAUGAGAUCUCCAGCAUUGCCGAGGCUGCUGAGAACCUGGACAUCCAAAUACAGAUGGGAGGACCACACGGAAUUGAAACAUAAAGGCAGACCUCAUCUGGAAAGUAUGAUAUCAAAAAGGAGGCAAUGCUCAUGCCCAUGGUUCAGAACUGCCUUCGCCAGUUAUAAUGACAAGUGAAGUUUCAAGAAAGAACCACCUGGAAUCUGACGCCCAGUGCUAAUGCUGAACUGAUUUGGCAGUUAUUCAAAUUCAAAGAGGCCACCCCAAAGGCACUCUUUCAGUUGGAGCAGAGCUAUUAGAAAUCACACCAUGAGCGCUUACUAUCAGUGGGACCAUAAGCUGAAGGCUACUGGCUUCUCCUAUUUAAUCCCUACAGCAACCUUGUGGCUCAGGUACUAUUAGGAUUCCUCUUUACAAAUAAGGAGACUGAGGAUUAAAGAGGUGACCUCACUUGCCCAGGGUCACAGAGCCAGGAAGCAAGCAGCGUUAGCCUUCACAUAUAGCAUGUGUUUUUCCAGAACCGCCAUUUUCUUCCCUAAGUUAUACUGAAGAGAGGGCUUGGUUAAGAAAACAGGCUGCUCACCCCUGCUUACCCAUGGUGAUAACAGAAAUCUAGGACUUUAAAGAAAUGUCCCUUAAGACUAUUUUAGAGACCUCUGUGACUCCUCAGUCUCCCAGGAAGAGGAUGGUUAUCCAACCUAUUUCUGACUUUAAUACUUUCUUCACAAACUCUUUAACACCCUGGGAAGAAAGACGCUAUGAAAAGUAAAUACACCAUCAUGUACA